AUUUGUUGUUUUGUGUGAAGAUCUCUAAGUACUGUGGAUCCUUUUGGACCCAAUGCAUUUCUUAAAAGGCAACAGGGGUUUGAUCAGCCUCUGGCCUCUCCCUGUUGUUGAUUGAUUCCUAGAUGUACCCCUCCCUGCAUGCAAAGGAGACGGAUCCACGGAGCUUUGACACAUCUGUAGGAGAUACCGAGCUUGUUGUAGUCCUUGAACGAGCAUUUAAGGGGAGCUGUGCCUGGAAAACUGUCCAGCCUACACUGUGACCAUCUUUGGUCAGUUCAGGCCUGACUUCAAGCUGCGAGGCUAAAGUGAGAGUUGCAGAAUAGGCUUUUGAAGCUGGGUGAAGAGACCUGGGAAGUCUGCAGUCUGCUGGAAGUUGGAAACUUCAUGGAACAGACUGACCAAAGAAUUGUCAGCUGUUGCUUAACUAAGGCAGUGGAAGAUGGACAGCCAUCCCAGGUGCCUUUGUAACAAGAGACCAGAGUCGCAUGCAACUGCUCUUCUCUCCAGCAGUGGGCCAGCCACCUGUUCCCCAAACCUUGGGACUUGUCACGCUGUGAAGAGAUGAGCCUGCAGCCCUUCAGGGAUCAGGACUUCUUUUGCAGGCUUGGACAAAGACUUAAGGUACAGUCAUGGCUCCCAUAAUUGCCACCCCUCAGUUGAGAAAAGGAGCAGGUGACCUGUUCAGUCUGAUGCCUUAUUGUUACAUGCCAAAGCAAGAGAACACAUGCUUGUUGCAGUGCAUGUCCAGCAACCCACAAGUGCACAACAAAUUCUCACUUGCACCAACUGGGGAAACUUAGGAGGGAGGUAGCACGCACUGGCAGCAGCUGGCUUAGAAUCUGGGAAGUUCUCGAACUUUCCCUUGUAGUCUGUGCCCUGUAUUUAGAGACAGCUUGUUCCAGUACCAUCGCAAAGGCUGUGACCUGUUUUUAUUGACAUUGCUUGGUUUCCCUGGAACCUCUUGGAACUGAAGCAAAGCAGUUCUUGUAUGGAUUGUGAAGGUGUCAGUUAGGUGGGGUUUUCACCUUUCUGUGCAAGAUGCAGAACCCUCCCUUCCAGAACUGUAUCUUUCCCCACACCAUCGUGGAAUGCUGCUGCUGCUGUUGCCUGCACCUAUUGUGUGUUCUUCUCGCCUCUGACUUAUGGUCCAUGCUGACAAAGCUGCUAGAAUUAUGGAAAAGAAAAAAGCUUUGUUCCAAGGAACUGGACACGUGGGUAGAUAUAUUUUCCUCUAACAGAUGCAUCUGGUUAGAUCAGUUGCUGUUACUAAGGCUUUAAAGCCAAAGGCAUGAUGCUGUGUAUUGGGAUGGUCUACUUAAGUAUGCCAUCAUUUAGGCCAUUUGCUCUAUUUGCUUUGGCUUAGUUGGAUGAGUUGAUUUAUUCCUUUCCUUGACUGAUGAAACAACGGUAAUAUCUGUAAGGCUCACUUGGUCUCCUAGAAACAGUUUGGACGCCUCCUGCUUGAGCCAUGCUAUUGUAGUAUGGCAUAAGAAUUGCAAAUGGCCAUGAUGGGCCUGAAGGGAGGAUUACCAUAUGGGGUUAGCAAGAACACCUUAUCACUUGGAGACCAACUGGCUAAUUAUAUAAAAAUAGGUGGUGGGGCACUACAGCUGUUGCCUUCAGCUACUAUUAACACGUUCCAAGAGACAACUCCUUGUUCCUCGUCUAGCGCAUUACUGUUGGCCGCAACCAAGAGACUUCCUUCUUUUUUUUCCAGGCUAUGGCUUGGUAGUGUGUAGAUUAUGCUGCUCUAGAUCAGCAUAAGCCCAUAGUAUCCCCAAUACCAACUUGUGCAAGGUCCACUGUCUGCACCUGUCAUUGUGUGGCUCCAGUUACUGACCACAGCUCUGGCCUGCACAUCAGCAACCAGCUCUGGGAUCCAGAAACUAGACUGUUCAGUCUUCCCUAAGGCAGUGAGAUCUGGUGGGUCUCAGGUUAUCUUGCACAGUCCCUGCAGGAGAGACUGCCUACUAUGGUGGUGUCCUCAAUGGUGAAGGCUGCUGCCUGUCAAUGUGAUCUACAGACCUGCCUCAGGGACCCUUGCUGCCAGUUACCCUCAAGCUGUCUGCCAAGCUAAGCUUAUUGCUGGAAGAGGUGGAGGUUAGAGCAGGACAUGGACUACAGCUCCAGACCAAGACCGCACUGAGUCCAGCUACCGAAGUGGGACCCAGACGGCCUUGUGCUGAUGUCUCUGGCCACCUGAUGGAAGUUCUGGCUGCAUGGCCAAGUCCUGGAAGAAGGUAAUGACCUAGCUCAUCCACAAAAACAGUGAGCCUGACCAUCUGCAUCCCUGAAGGGCCCAUCACCCUUUGCUCCACCAUAUUUAAAUGUAAACAAUAUGCUGGGCCACAACACAGCUCAGAUCAUGGACUGGGCAGUGAAUGGGUGGAUUGUAGCCUGAACCAGAAAGCUUUCAUGUCCAGCGAGGGCUGUUGAAUGCAGCUUGGCUGCUGAUGACCCACGACAGCACCCAGACAGCAAGGUGUCCACGUGGAGAUCAGUGCAGGCCUCUGGCUCAGUGCCUUAGCCAUGCGUCUUCCAGGAGCUGGGAUAUCAGGCCAGAUUUCCACACAUGGUCCCCAAGGCCUACAACAACUACACUGUCACUUCCUGAUCAUAAUGGUGAAAUGCUGUUCCGAACUUGAAAUGAGGCUGCCUCCCAAGUCCCACCAUUGGAGGCUUACCAAGGGCCCAGGACCAAAAGCUAAACCUCCUGGCUUCUGAGGGUGACUUGAUGAACUCCUGCAGGUGCUGGACAGCAGCUGUGAGGCAGCUGACUGAACAGAGCUUUUGUUCCCCUCCAGUCCAAGGUGCCCAUAUACAUCAUCACCUCUGGAAAGAGAAACUUAUGGCCCCCAGUAACAGGAUCCCGGGUGAGCCCAUGAGAUACAUGAAGGGUAGCGAGGCUUACCUCAGCCUUGGCUCAGACAUGGAUCACUGUGCAAAUGAAUGUGGGAGAACAUCAUGCUAGGGACCAGUUAGGAUGCCUACCAAUUGGACUAAUCUGUGGGUACCCUGGAAGAAGAUGCAGGGGGAGUACCUUGUCUCUGGCUGCAGCUUUUGGCCCUGUUCCAUCUUGACAGCGGCUUCCAGUUCCAGUACCGACCCCCUGAUACCCCCAGUCCCUAGGAAACCACUUUGGACUGCCCUCCAUGCUUCAAGUAUCCAAUCAUUAGGCCAGACCACCAAUGCCUCGGUCCCAACCUUUUACCUGGAGCAGUCUUUUUGGAGCUGUGGGGCAGGACCCAAAGUAGAAAUACAAACUCCGUUCUGCCCGAGAAUCCCUGCAAGCCCUCCAACCCCCUGAAUCCCAAGAAAUGAUGGCCCAUCUCCAGCAGGCAGUUCAGCAGCUCCAGGCACUGUUUGAACAGCUAGAGGGGAAAAACCAGAGCUGUUGGACUGCCUGGAAGGGGCACAGGCUAAAGCUGGAGCCUGGCAAAUGCUGAGCAAAACCAUCCCCAAGAGAUGAAGCAACAAUCGAGCCUUGGCUGGGGCCCUGCUGUCAGAAGACUGCUGCUGCUACCACAAGUCCCACUCCCAGUGCACUUGAGCCAGAUCCAAAGAAGUGUUUUGGGAUUCCUGGAUCAGUGUUGCCUGCUCUUUCCACUGUGCCCCAUCAUCUGUUCCACAGACCAGGCCAAGAUGGGACUAAUGGUUGGCCUGCUUGCAGGGAGAAGUCCUGACCUGGGCUUCCUUGCUCCUCGAGGGCUUCAGUCUUUCAAAUUGUCCAUCCAAGCCUUACAGGGAAGAAGUCCCAUAGGCACCUGCCCACCCCUUGCAGUUAAUCUCUGCCAAAAUAGCCCCCUAAAAUGUUCAGCAUGGCAGCCAGCUAAAGCCCACAGUGGCUCACGUCAGUGGUAGGCCCCUGGCCUCAAGUGGAAUGAGGUGAUUGAAGUUGUGGCAAUUCUGCCAAAGGCUUAGUGAGGAGCUGAAGGAUGAACUUGUUCCUGUUGAGUCCCCUGCUUGCUUGGGGCCCUUGACUGAGCUCUUUGUGGAUCUACCACUGCCUUCCAGAGGAGUGUGUGGAAAAGAUGGCCAUGAGAGGGGACCCCACACCACAAUCCCAGGUCUCCUAGUGCCCCAGGAAGAUCUACUGCUCUAGAAAUCCAGGGAACUGUAUCUGUGGGAGACCUAGAAGAACCAGCUGUGAGCUUUGGGCCUCUGCUAGUCUUGUGGAGCACAAGGACCUUGCCCAUGCCAUCUGGUUAGCAGUACAGCUGUCAGUCCUUGUGGGCUUGGGUGCUAUGGACAACUUAAUGGACAAGUGUUUCUGCAAAGAGAGGUGCCUCCUAGUGAGGCACAGGGUGAACCCCAUUACAAUGGAGUAGUCAUUGUGGGCAUCCCACUCAACUUGGAUCCAGUAACUUUGGACAUUUGUUUUGGCUGCAUGGGGUGCUUACCUGUACUGUAUCAGUCUUGGGCCCUCUGUUCAUGUCCAACAUGUGGGAUUUCCUGUCCCUUUUGGGGGUAGAGCAGGAGCUCUAGUCUGUCUAACACUGGCAGACAAGGGAGAACCAGGUGCUGGAGCAAUGCUAAAUGAGGCUUCCUUAACUGCCAUCACCAUGACUGGCUUGUGCUCCUGCCCGUGUCUAUAUCUGCAUACAACAACUUGGAUCUGUCACCCAGCCAGUGCAGCCCCUUGAUGCCAAGUGUGGGUUUCAUCCCUACUUCCCCACAGCCCUGUCCAACAUCUCCACCCCUGUAGUCACAGAACUGGGAACCCACUUGCAAUGAAUACAUGAUGACGUGAAGCACCACCACUAGCCUGCCAAGAAGGUCUAGUUUUAGGCUACAAACAGUGCUCGGGGGGGGGGGCUCCACGUCCAUUGUAGGAGUAAAGAAUCGCUCUCUUCCUAAUACCUGAAAGCCACCUCUCAACUCUGACAAGCAAGAUCUUGGGUAUCUAGGACUCUAUGCCAUCUCUGCAGUCACCAACAUGGUGUCCUUCUGCUUGUAGCUAUCUGAUGUUCUGCGUGCCCACCCUGUCUUCUACAUCUCCCUGGCAAAUCUAUGCACAAAGACAACCUAUUCCUGGCAGUCCCCAAACCAUCCUCUUUGGCUGGGGGCAUAAGGAAUUCCAACUCAAAAAAUCACCAUUGACAACCAGAAGUUAGGGAGGAAAUGGUAUUAAUGUGUUUGACUGGCAAGGUUAUGGACUGGCAGACUAUUUCUAGCAACCUGCAGAAAAUGCAUGAGCCCCUGACCUAGUACGAGCCUUCUGUCAGAGCCACCCAAAGAAGGCUAGCCUAAAAGCCCCCACUUCUAGCACAAUGCCUGCAUAUACUGUAAGGAGGCCAGAUCAGGGCCCUGGACUUGCAGGUUCUCAAUCUGAUCUUAUCUCCUGAGCAGGUGGCAUCUCAGCAAGGUCAGAGCAGAAGCCUGGUCCCACCUGGGCUCAAUGAGGCCAUCCAGGCAGUCAAGCUCCUGAAGCCACUUCCUAGUCUAACAGAAGCCAGACCAGAAACGGUAGGCCUCUGCUGGCUUUUGUCAUACUCUCAGUGGUUCCUGGCCCAUCCCUGUGGAUGGCAUUUUUAAAGGGUUGAUUUGAAAGGGAGAGAGUGAAGACAAGGGUGGAGAGUGGCACAGGAGUGGUCAUGCUUUUAUUUGUAUUUUAGAUGGUGCCCAAGAUGUUUUACCCUUGGGCUUUAUUGACCACUUCAUGCUAAAAGGGGUGGUGGGUAUGGAGAAAUGUUGUGUAAUGAUGGGUCUUCUGGAAAUACAAAUAUGUGGUUGGAGGAGUGUAGGGGCUGUAAAGAGCUCUUGUAAGGGGUGGCGGGCACUGUAAAUCUGUGUUAGGAAUAUGUGGGAAUGGUGGCACAUAGUGCUGAUGUCUCAGCAGUAUGUGCAUAGUGCUGAAGGAAAGGAACUGAGCAGUUUGUCAUGAGAGCGGGUGGUAGAGGAUGAGGUCAAGGAGGGAGAGCUUGAGGUGAAGUUGUGCUCCAGUGCCUCUUAAUGCCUGUGGAGUGGGGCAGGGCAUUCGGGACUGACCUGGAUGUCAUCAAGAGGGCUACAGGAAAGGCUUGGUUUGUUUUAUUCAUGUCCCAUGAACAGAGGGCUGGUCUUGCUACUGUUGGAUAGCCGGAAGGACUUGGCUGUUAAAAGGGUGCAGCAGUACACUAGACUGCUGAGGGAAGUUGUGGAGCCUUCAUCACUGGGGGUGUUGAAAAAGAGGUCAGGUAAACAUUGAUCAGGAAUGAUCUAGGAGUAACUGUGCCUAUGUUUUACUCUGCUUGUGUCUCAUGAGGCAACCAGUGAAGCCCAGAAGCAUGAGGCUGGGAAAGACUCUUUUCUUUGUCCUUUGCUGUGUGUUGUGGUAGGUAUAUUCCUUCCUCAGGAGCGCUGAGCGACUGUCACCAAGGCUGGAGACUGCCAAUACUCCUUCCUCAAGUAAAACCUGUAGGUUCCUGGCUAGAGGGACUUGCCCCUUUGCUCAGGGUCAAGCUGGUCACCCAGUUUGAGGUCAGGAAGAAGUUUUACCCCUUGGUCAGAUGGGUACAGAUUGUGGGGAUGAGUGCCUUCUUGUAGCAGGGGCAUGGACCUCUUCCUUGUGUGCCAUUCAGCAUCUUUUAACAACCCUUGCAGAAGGAGGACAUGGGUUACUAUUGCCACAGGCGAAGCAAAAGGACAUCUUGGGGUCGUAUGAUUUGUGGGUGUGUGACAAUGCCAUUGGUUUAGUUCUAGUAGUAAUAUGGUACCGUGGAUAGAGAUGACCCUGCCUUGGGCAGGGGCUGGACUAGAGGACCUCUUGUGGUCCCUGCCAGCUCUGUCUUUCCCUCUUUUGAGGAAGAAGUGGUACCCUGAUCAGAAUGCCCCUGUGGAGAAGGGGAUGAUCUGUGGAAGCCAUGCAAAGAUUUCACCAUGGGAUGUUGAGAGGAGGGAUGUGGGCAUGGUAAUGCAGCCAUCUUAAUGGUGAUCCCUACUGUGCCUUCAGGUUAUUCCUGCUGCCUCGCUAUUCGCUGCUCUUUGCCUUAAUGCUCUUUCUAAUGACAUGCCCCGUGACUUGUUUCUUGCUAGAGGAUGUUUUGAUCUUCAUGUAGGCUGUACAGCACGCUUUCUGCCUUCUAUUUUUUUAUUAAGGAAAUAUUAAAUAUUUCUUUAUCUCUCCACACCGCCUCCUUUUGUCAAUAUCUCACAAUAAACAAUAUCAUACGUGAAUCAAUAAUGCAUGACACAACCAUGGGAACUUCCUGUCUCCUUUCUCCAUCACAAUUUCUUCACAAUUGGAUCACCAGAUCCUCCUCUUACAUAAUCAUCAAUGCAAUCCAUGACAAUACCUUUUGCUCUCUCAUACAGGUUCUUGGGACACUUUCAACAUUUAUAAUGCAUCCUCACAUUUUACACAAUCUUUCUCUGUGGUCUCAUAUUUCCCUUCUUUUUAUUUGCCUUUACCACAUUUUCCACACGUCUUUAUUUAUAGCAUACACAACUCGUUUUUGUUUCAGUAUUACUGUUUUCCUCACUUGGUUUUCACCUUCCCUGAUUCCCGACGCAUUUCCUUUCCCUACUUCCCGAUGCUUUUUCUUUCCCUCCUCUCUAUCCCUUCUUUUCUUUCCCUACCCUUACCCUAUCCCGGCCGGCUGGAAUAAUUCCUGCCACCGAACGCCUUGCCAUGCCCUACUCCCUUUGCCCUUUUCUCCCUUUCCCUUCAUGUAGUCUUUAAUCUCAUAAUACCCCAGCUGUACGCAUUCCCUUUGUGUAAAGCAUACCCCCUUCCCUAUCAACAAGCACCUCACUUUCCAUAAUGCCACCCUCAUCCCCAUCAAAAUCACCCGCACUUCCCAUUGCCUUGUUUCACUGGUCCAUACACUGCGGUCUCAUAGGACACCCCCUGUGCCCACCCUAUUGCCCUUAGAAACUUCCCUACUCUUCCCCAUACCCUUCUUGCAGACGUGCACUCCCAAAAACCAUUUUCUUCCUUUGUACAGAACUCCCCCAGGCUUUCUGCCGAUCUCACCAGCCUCCAUCGGUGUAGUACUUCUCUGACUGAUAGCACCCGCCUAACUAUACACCACGCUAUUUCCCUGUGAAACCCUUUCCACCUUGUGUCUUCUAUUCCCCUCCACACCUCUCUCACCUGUUCCCAUGCCAAAUUCCCCACAUCCGUUAAUCCAUCUUCCUCCCUAAUUGCAUUGAAAAUUACCCUCGCCUUUUGUAAUCCUUCCAUCCCGUUUUACCAAACCCUUUGCCCUGACAAAUGCCGCCAGCCUAUCCGUGUGCUGUGAUGGUUUCCCUGCCCACACGCCUGUCCACCUUUCUCCAAAUAUCCCCCAUUCCCUCAAAACUCUACCUCCCCAGUACUUUACCCAUUUCCCCACUAUUCCUUCCCCUCUCCGUGCCUCCCUGUCUAAUGCUGCCACCCUGUGCCCAUAUAUGAACGUUUCCACCUCUGGAAAACCCCAUCCCCCUAGCUCCCCCGCUUUAUAAAGCUCCCUACGUGCUACCCUCUCUCCCUUACUUCCCCAGAAACACACACACAAUUCCCUUUGUAUCCUCCUCGCUUGCCUCCACGAUGGAGGGUAUACCCACCCUAUGAACAGCAGGAUCGGUAAGAUCACAGACUUGAUUAGCUUUACCUUCCCUGUCUUAGACAAACCUCUCCCUCCCCAUAUUCCCAGCACCUUUUUUCCUCAUCCUAUCCUAUGCUUCUGAAGGACUAGCACGUCCUUUAUCUUUUAGUACCCUCUUAAUCUCCUCCCAUUUACCUCCAUCUCGGCAAAUUUCUCAUGUUCCACAAUAUGAAAUGCAUUCCCCUGUCUUACUCCCCCAGUGUCCUCCUCCCUCCCCCCUCAUACCUCCAUUUCUUCUCAACCCCCACCCUCCACAUCCCUGUUGCUUAAGCCUAGCUUCCAAUAGCUGACGGGCUAUUAGAAAAGCUGCCCCCACCCCGACUCUCCUCCUGAUUUCACUUACACCAUUUGUCAGUCUUGCUUCUUCCCCUAUAUCUUUUCCCUUCUCACUCCUCUUCUCUUGUUCUUCCCGUUUUUGCUUUGGUAUCCCCACUUUCACUCUUUGGAUGGUUGCAUGAUGUUUCCAGCAAAGCCUUUCCCUGCCCAACAGAAUUUCCAAAUAGUUACUUACACCAAUUAACCCCAUGCCCCUUGCACUUCCUGUCACUUUUUUCUCCUGCCUCCCUCUCCUCUACUGUGGCUGUCCAUUGCUCUACAACAAUUUCUACAGUUGAUGUAGCCAGCUUCUCUACUUCCUCAAAUAAAUUCAUCUUUGUCCUGAGCUCUAAUACUCUCCCAGCCAUCUUCCUUCCCAUACUGAAUGUUUCCAUCCUCUGAAGGGAUACCAGGGACUUGCUGUCCCCUUCCAUCUUCUCUCCCUCCCGUUCUGACACUUCCUUCCUUAUGAGUGGGGGCACUCUUCAAAAUUUGUGCCCCUCCUCCCAACAUGUUUUUGCACAUUACUUCAGCCUUGCAUACCCCUGCCCUAUACCCCAUCCCACAGCAUCAGCAACUUGUUGUCCAUUGACAAUAUGUUUCAAUGGGCCCUGGUCCAUUAUAUUUACUACGUCACCUUGGUUGACCAAAAUAAUAGAUAUAUUCCCUAUGGGGACCCAAACAGAAGCUGGAAGAAAGAUGUUUGAUUCCUCAAUGAUCUCUCGCCAUUCCAGAUCUCCGUGAACCGGUCCAUAUUUUGUUCUUAUUGAAAGCUCUGUCCACCCAAAGGACUCUCUUUUUCCUUUAGCCUCCAGACAAUGUUGGAUGUCCUCCAGUUCAAUUACAUCAUUGAAGGUUCUUAAAACAGCCCUCUUUCAUGGGAGUCUGCUCUGGCUUGAAAGCGCAGUUCUGUUAAUUGUCUCUUCCAUGCUAAUUCCUCUGCAUGCCUCUCCCAAAAGACACUAUAUGCCUUCCUUUCCCUAAAACGUUCUGUCCCAGAUGCAGUAAUUUUCAUGUGCCACCAGGAUGCUUACAGGUUUUCUUUUAUUAAUAAGGUAACGAAUUUAAAAUGCCCAACCUCAACCAAACUUUCCACCUUGCAACACAAAACCCAACAAAACCAUCUCCAGAUUUAGAAGCAUCUACAACCCUUUAUCAUUCAGCCACAGAUACCUUGCACAACCUGGUUCCAUGUCACCUUACACAUUGGAAAAUCAUAUACCCAACAUGUUAAAGAUUUCUGUUAUCUGUAACACAUUUAACAAAAGUGUGUAUGUAUGUAUUUACAACUGGCUUAACUUCAUCCCCACUGCUUCACCUCUUACACAUCCCUUAUCAUAAUUGUCAUCCCUCGACACCACACUUGCCGCCCCCCCGCCCCCAAUCUUCUUAUCCAAUCCCCUGUAGGGGCAAACUAUUCUUCCCAAUUCACAUUUUGCCAUACUCACUGCUUCAGUUGCCCUUCCUUUCCCAUAUAUCCCCAUGCCUAAUAAUACCCCAGCUGCAAACAUUCCUUAACCAUAAAAACAACCCCUUACUUGGUAAUAAAUGCCACCUUUUACCUACUAUCCCCUUCCAAACCUCUCACCUAUGCCCUUGAUCGAUCCCCUACAUCCAUCACCUUGUCACUUCCCCCUGCUUAUUACUUUAAAUACUGGUUUUGCAUUGUCCCACCCUUCUGUGCCUAGCUUCUUUAGUCCCUCUGCCCUUCAUAAAAAAAACAAAACAAAACCCCAUCCUAGCAUAAUGUAUCAUUUCUUUUUCUUUCUCUUUCAGCCUGUAAAUCCAUCCAUCUCAUUGCCAACAACUGUAACCCCUAAACAACUGCUCUCCCCAGUCUCAACAAUUUCCCCAAUAACCCCUCUCCCUUUUUCACUUCCCUUAGUCACAGCCACCACAUGCACUUACAGAAAAAGCUCUAUUUUGAGUAACCCCAGCCCCCCAAUUCACCAGUUUUUUACAAAUCUCCCCCUUGCCAUCCUCUCCCCUCCCCCCACGCAAAAAAAUGCCAACUUCUCUUUAAAAUGUAUUGCACUUGCAACCAUGAAGGAGGGUGAACCCUCCCCGUAAACAAAAUAAUAGGCAGCAGCACCUGCUUGCCCAAUUCCACCUUCCCCCACCCCCAAAAUAA